rnacentral:rRNA from 1 species
GAUGAACGCUGGCGGCGUGCCUAAUACAUGCAAGUCGAGCGAACGGACGAGAAGCUUGCUUUUCUGAUGUUAGCGGCGGACGGGUGAGUAACACGUGGAUAACCUACCUAUAAGACUGGGAUAACUUCGGGAAACCAGAGCUAAUACCGGAUAAUAUUUUGAACCGCAUGGUUCAAAAGUGAAAGACGGACUUGCUGUCACUUAUAGAUGGAUCCGCGCUGCAUUAGCUAGUUGGUAAGGUAACGGCUUACCAAGGCAACGAUGCAUAGCCGACCUGAGAGGGUGAUCGGCCACACUGGAACUGAGACACGGUCCAGACUCCUACGGGAGGCAGCAGUAGGGAAUCUUCCGCAAUGGGCGAAAGCCUGACGGAGCAACGCCGCGUGAGUGAUGAAGGUCUUCGGAUCGUAAAACUCUGUUAUUAGGGAAGAACAUAUGUGUAAGUAACUGUGCACAUCUUGACGGUACCUAACCAGAAAGCCACGGCUAACUACGUG